rnacentral:lncRNA from 1 species
GAUUGGGUGCGCAGUCUGGCCGGUUGCCCGCAGCAUUCUACCUGCUGCGCUGGGAAAGGCUGAGCCUCCAUGGAGAAAAAGAGGCUCCAUUGUAUAGAACACUCUCCCAUGCGCAAGCUCCAAGAGACUUCAUGCCAGGCAGAGGACACAGGAUAUGCUGAUAAUUAAGUGUCCAGGAUGGAUGGAGCACCACAGAAAUUCACUGAAGGCUGCUAGCCAGGAGACUCAAGAAGGAAUUGUUAAAAAAGAGAACUAUCCAAACAUUGUCCUCUCCCUUUGGAGCCUAAACAGGAAAGAAAACUCUUAGGUUGGGACCAUUACAGGAAUGAAAGAAAUAUCCUAGACAAAGGAAGAACUAUUCCAAAGCCAGCCUCAAGCUGGAAUGUGUUCUAGUUGAUUCCCUUUUCUUGCUUAGCAAGCACUGAGCUUCCUGUUUCUGGUUUGGACCUGAAGCGAAGGUUCCCAAAUACCAACAGGAAGGUCAUACUUGUGGUCUCCCUCCCUUGCUGAAACCCUGCUGAAGCCUGAAGCUCUAGAAUUCCACGUGGGUGUCAUUUUCUCAAGAGACUUCCAGCUGCAGUUCCCAGACCAGAGCUGGGUCCCUGUAUGCUCUUAGAUCUAUGGAUGAUUUACCUUUCCUACAAAAUAUCUAACCAUUCUUCCUCUUUUACUUUUCUGAGAUUCCAUUAUUAUCUUGCCAAGUAUGGGUUCAAUAAUUAAGAAGAGUUCUUGUGGGGAGGGGGUGGGAUUUUUAAACAGAGGAUAGACUCUCAAUAAGUGAGUUGUGUUAGGUUUCUGCAUAAAUGUCCACUUAUACUCAAAUACUGAGUACUUGUGAUAUACUAGUUAUUGUCUUCAAAGAGAGGUGUCCUUUCUAAUUUUGAGAAUCCACUUCUAUGAGCUGUAGAGAGGCAGACUACAGAUGUGUAAAUCAGAUUAUUACAUAAAUUCAUUUGUUCCACACGUUUAUAAAGACCCUGUGCAUACUAAGUAACUGUGGUAGUCACUGGUGUUCCAAAAAGUACUAACACUUUAUCAAGUGCUAACCAUAUUCUAGAUGCUUUUGCAUAUGUGAUCUUAGUUAAUUUUCACAACAAUUCU